rnacentral:rRNA from 1 species
CGGCGAGUGAAGCGGCAACAGCUCAAAUUUGAAAUCUGGCCCUCUAGGGGGUCCGAGUUGUAAUUUGCAGAGGGUGCUUUGGCGUUGGCGGCGGUCUAAGUUCCUUGGAACAGGACGUCACAGAGGGUGAGAAUCCCGUAUGUGGUCGCCGGCCUUCGCCGUGUAAAGCCCCUUCGACGAGUCGAGUUGUUUGGGAAUGCAGCUCUAAAUGGGAGGUAAAUUUCUUCUAAAGCUAAAUACUGGCCAGAGACCGAUAGCGCACAAGUAGAGUGAUCGAAAGAUGAAAAGCACUUUGGAAAGAGAGUCAAAAAGCACGUGAAAUUGUUGAAAGGGAAGCGCUUGCAGCCAGACUUGCCUGUAGUUGCUCAGCCGGGCUCCGGCCCGGUGCACUCUUCUGCGGGCAGGCCAGCAUCAGUUCGGGCGGCCGGAUAAAGACCUCUGUCACGUACCUCCCUUCGGGGAGGCCUUAUAGGGGAGGUGAAAUGCGGCCAGUCCGGACUGAGGUCCGCGCAUCUGCUAGGAUGCUGGCGUAAUGGCUGUAAGCGGCCCGUCUUGAAACACGGACCAAGGAGUCUAACAUCUAUGCGAGUGUUUGGGUGUCAAGCCCGAGCGCGUAAUGAAAGUGAACGGAGGUGGGAACCCCUCGGGGUGCACCAUCGACCGAUCCUGAUGUCUUCGGAUGGAUUUGAGUAAGAGCAUAGCUGUUGGGACCCGAAAGAUGGUGAACUAUGCUUGAAUAGGGUGAAGCCAGAGGAAACUCUGGUGGAGGCUCGCAGCGGUUCUGACGUGCAAAUCGAUCGUCAAAUUUGGGCAUAGGGGCGAAAG